GGGCGGUUUGCCGGAGGGAGGAGAGCAGCGCAGCGGGAGGCUCCGGAGGUUUAUACUGAGAUGGAUGGCGGAUUUAAUGGCGGCGGAGCCGCGAGGAGGGUGUCGUGGAUCGGGAGAGCCGGGCGGUCGAGGGAUCGGAGGGGGAUUGGCGGCGCACUACGGAGUUUCUUUUCGUUUUUCAGCCGUCGGCGGGUGCUACAGAGGAGCCGGAGCAGUGACGAUCGGAGAAGGGCGUCGUUUAUGAGGAGUGCAAGUGGUGCAGAGCCUGUUUGGGACUAGAGGAGAAGGCCGGAGAAGGUUUGUUAUAUUUUGGAUAUUUUGGUUUUCUGGUUCUGAAUUAUAAGAAUGAGAAGGGCCUGCAAUUUCC
rnacentral:misc_RNA from 1 species